CAUUAAUUAGUCAAGGCUGCUCUCCUCUCUGAGGUUUGAAAUCAUAGAAGCAUCAAUCUAGGUGCAUUAGAUGUAGUAAAACCUCUGAGAGGUCUAAUGGAUCUGACUACCCGUGAUUGUACUUUUGUUCUUGCAGGCUACAAUUCAUCUUUCAGAAGUCUGGGGACAUCAAACAGAAAAGCGCCUCCCCUGCCUCCAUCCUUUCUUAUCUGCCUCUUACGGACAAAAAUGCUCCUAUUUUGUGAAUUAAAUCAAAAUGGACUACUUGUUCAUUGAAGCUGCUGGCAAGCAUCGCUGCAGACUCAACACUGUGGAACAACCUUUGGGACAAAGAUUGCUCCCCACGGAAAUUUCUCCAAGAUGAUCUUCCUUUACAACAAGUAUGGAUGGCCGGAUUGAGUUAUAAGGUCACCUUCAUGUUUGAGAUAGAAGAUCAUAGACUCUUAUGGUGUCAAGUUGAGUGGUGGAUUGGCCCAGGUGAAAAUUUGAGGAAUCUUCUGGGGCUGAGAUCCCAUGGCUCAGCAUUUGUUCUUUUAACCAGCUUCAUCCAGCACUUACCAGUAUGAUUGGUUGACAAGAGAAAUAGGAGUAUAUCUAAGAGAAACGCCACUACUUAACCACCAUGCCUCCCAUUUUAUGGAUUCUCCUACAACAAGGACCUUGUUCAUAGAGGUUAUUGGCAAAGAAUUUUCAAACUAAACCACAAGAAGUUUGGAGAGACUGUUGGGACAAGGUAAUAGGAAGGCCACAAUGCUGCCAUCAUUUCUUCAAGCUGCCCAUGUUAGAUAAGGUAAUCUAUUUUGUGGAUUCUUCUAAAAUAAGGACCUCAUCCAUAGAGGUUGUUGGCAGAGAACUUUCCUACCAAACGGACUUUAAUACAGAUAGACUGUUGGGACAAAGCUAGCUUAGAACACUGUAAAAAAAUCCCUGAUUGUGCAUCCAGAGCCUACUUGAAGACCUUCAAGGAUCUUAGGAGAGCAGUAUUGUCUUUGUAGCAAACGGAUUCUGGUUUAGAAUAACUAUUGAUUCGCCCUAAGAUUUGCCUCUCACCAAUCCAUGUCAUUUCUCUGCGAUGUUCUAGAUUUUCCGCCUUUUUUUCUUAGGGGAAUCGAAUGGCUGGCCUUGAAGUUACUCUCUUUUUGGAGGUUCUAUAACAAAAAAGGUUUUUCUUACACUGAAUUUGAAGUAGUCCAACAUCAGAGAGAUCUUUUAGGCUGUGGUAUAAUUUUUUUUAACCAUCGCAUCCGAUGCAUACCUUAGCUAUUAGUUUCAAUUGAAGAGCUCCACGUCAGGAAUAGCAUUCUUGCCACCAUUUUCUCCGCGUGCCCAGUUCUACCUGCUCCAUUUUCUAGAUUAUAGGAAAUGUUACAUUUUGUGCAGUGGUGGCUGUUGGAGAAAAACCCUCCCAGUUCAAUAUCCAAGAGUACAGAGAUGGUUGUCACAAGAACCAACCACUUCUGCAACUCUUGUUGCUUUGUCCAGAUAUUCCUUGUGUCCUACUCCUUCCUCAUGCAAGCCCUGAAUGUCAAAAGAUACUGGCAUCUCUGAUAUCAAUACUAAAUUGACCUCUUCUAUGUAUAUUGAGAACCAAUAUUUUGAGGAUCAAAGAUGUAUAUAUAUUAUCCUAACUUGGAGCCGACAGUCUUCUAUUUCAGAAUGAAGUUUUGGGGGCAUCUGCAAUGAGUGAAUUUACUUCAAAUGACUGUACAUUAUGAAGGAUUAGCUUUUAUUUUUUGUUCUUGUUUUGAAAUGUGGAAGGCGUAUGCAGUCAGAAGAUGAGAAAACUAAGUGCUUGUUAUAAUCCAUGUAGAAUUGAAUUGGCCAUUUAUUUUUGACCUAUGUUUCAAAAGAUGUUCUUUUUUUUAUCAAGGCGAUGGAUUAGUUGAACUAUUAGGUCACUGCGAUCUAGGGGAAUGGAGUAGUGUAUGCUAUAUUGAUUGCUUCAUUAGUUGGAUCCAAGGUCUCUGAAAAAUCUGUAACAUGCCUACAGUCCCAUGAUUACAUUUAGGCUUUUCCAGCCAACUUCCUUCAGUACUAAUGUCUGCUAUCAGUCCUUCAGAAUAGUGAACAUAUGAACGAGAAAAGAAACUCUUGGGGACCUUUCCUUCCAGUCAAAUCUGGACAAGGUUCUUUGUUCUGUGAAUUCUCUACAAAACAAUGAUCCUUUCCACCCUUCUGUGGACAAUUCUGAGCAAAGAAAAAUGAGGUCCACUGAGGCCAUUGGUAAAAGUGCUCUGUAGCUAAACAAUGAAGAAUAUGAACAAUGUUGUGACAAAGUCUGCUAGCCUACUAACCCCCUGAUGAGUGGGCAUCCAAACUGUUACCUCGAGCCCUCACCAGAACCAUAGCUUACAACUUCCUAUCUCAAGCACCUAUUCUCUUCUAUUCCUUUUAGAUGUCCUAUUUGGAUACUGCAUUUUGCCUAAAGGCUGCUUGAAUAAUGGAGGAUGAUGGCAAAGCACUUUGCAACCAAAACUCCCAAGACCACGAUUCCUACCCUAUAAUAUCCCUUGAUGAUUGAUGGUCCAGAAGAUUCUAAAUUUGCCUUACCGAUGUAUGGAGAGGACCAUCAUUAGAGGAUUAUUCACCUUAAAACUAAGGUGUGAUUGCUUUAAGAUGCAGAAUGAGAUUUGCACAGUGCCAAUGAGGUCAGUUGCUUUAUUUCACCAUAUAUAUUUGGCUUUUAGGAUUAAAAAUUUUGGCAGUAUGUACAAAUGGGAUGCAGCUAGUGAGAGGGUUUGAAAUGGUUGCUGAAUUGCAUUAAAUUGGAUUCAACUGAUCAUUCAUUUCUGUAUUUGUUGUAGAUCAACAUCCCCAUUUGCACUGGGAGUCUAUGGAUUGACUUGUCAGGUCACUUUUACAUUUGAAAUUGGAAAUCAUAGAAAGAUGUGGAGUAGAAGACUGGAUCAGGUAAGAGCUCUGAGGAAUCUUCCAAUUUGGAGAUCACGUGAUUUUGCUUCUCUUUCAGUCAACUUCAUCCAGCACUCCAGCCUUCAUCCAACAUCCAUCAUCUUUCAGUCAACUUCAUCCAGCACAUCCAGCCUGUACUUCAGGGUCUAAGUGGUGGAGGAAAGCACGCUCAUAUCCACAGAUAAAGGAACUGUCCCAACACCAUCCCUUCCAGUAGCCCUGGGUGGAUAAGUCACUUUACUUUGUGCAUUCUUUCAAAAGUAAGGGCCUUAUCCAUAGAGGCUGCUGGGAAAGAACUUACCAGCCAAACCAUUAGCAGUUUGGAGGGACUGUUGGGACAAGGCAAGAGAAGCCACAAUGAUGUCACCAUUCCUUCCAGUCACCCGUUGGAUAAAGCACCUCAUUUUGUGGAUGGACCCUCAAAGAAGGAUCUUAUUUGAAAAGAACAGGAGGUACAGAUGGGCUAUUGGAUAAUUAUGGUUACUGAACACAACCCCCUGAUGAUUGCACAACAAGAGUAUACUGGAAAAAACCUUCAGGGUGAUAAAGGAAGGCUCUUCCUUUUAUCUGUUCUGUUCCUUUACUGUUCUGUUUUGGAAUAACUUUUUUGUACAGCUUUCCAUAACUUGCAACUAAAUUUGCCUCUAGCCAAUUCAUGUGGAAUGGAACACAAAUGCACUCCCCAUUUUUAUGCUUUGUUCUGUUCUGGGGAGGGAAGGGUAUUGGACAAUUGCUUCUAAAGUUAGUUUCCUUUCUGAUAUCCUGUGACAAAAAGGUACCUCCCAUACUGGAUAGGAGCAUAGAGAAUUCGAAGAAUUCCCUAGUACCAUGACUUCCCCCGCCCCUCCCAACCAAGGCCAUCCUCCAACAAAGUGUCUUUGUCACAGGUCUUGAUUGGUUGGUUCUGCAGUUGGAACCUAACUAGGUCAGACCAAAUAUUCUGUUCCCUCAUGCUUUGUUUUUUCCCAAAUAGUACAUUUUUAUAGAUUUUGUUAAACUUGUUAAACAUUAAACAUAGCUUUUAGAGGAGAACCUUCUAGCCCAUGAUUUCAGAGAAGGUGGCAACUAUACACUGCCUCUUAAAAUCCAUGUUUCUUGUUCUCCAGACCUAUCUCUGAAGACUUUCAUUUAGGCAAAAGGCAUAUUCCUAUUCUUCUCAUUCAGCUUAAUAUCCUUUUGCAGGGAUCUGAAUGUUCCUUGAGCAAAUACUUGGGGAGGCCCAGAAUUCAAAGGGACCAAUAUGGAGUCCAGUCUUCACCUCAAAACUUAAAGAGUUAGUGGACUUAAAUUUUAGAAUGAGGUAUUUGUUUUGGAGCAUGGCCAAUUUACUCUUGAGUAUAUGUUUCUUCUGAGAGAUUUAUUAUUUAUUUUGUUGUUUUUAAAUUGGGGUGGAGGAAUGAAGUGGGAGGAGACAAAAUAAAGGUUAUAAAAAUAAACGUAGGAAUAGAAUUGACCAUUCAUUUUGUAAAAGACCAUCCUAUUUUAGACAGAGGAUGCAUUGGCUGAAUUCUUCGAUCACCGUCAUCUCUGAGGCUGCAUGUCAUACAUAGAAGCAUCUGAUGCACUGAUUGGUAUAUUCUGAGAUGUCUAACAGGCUUGACUUCCCAUGAUUGUACCUUUGCUCUUUUAACAGACUUUCUCUAGCACUACAGGUCACAAUUAGUCUUUCAGAAGCAUAAGCAGAUCUAACAGAAAAGCCCCUAUCCUGCCUCCAUCCCUUCCAGCUGCCACAUUUGCACAAGGUGCUCUAUUCUGUGAAUUCUCUCCUGAAGAGCUCCUUGUUCGUAGUGGCUGUUGGCGAAGAACUUGGCAGCGAAACACUGGAGAGUAUGCAAGGACCUUUGGGACAAGGAUCAGCAACCUGAAAAACUGGAUGGUUGUUCCUCUAGACUUUCCUUGAAGACUUCCAGAGAUGUUGAGCCAGGGAGACCCUACUUCCUCCAAAUGCAGCUCAUUAUAUUCAUGGAUAACUCUGACUGAAACCACAGUUUUCCUGACAUUAAGCCUGAAUUUUCUGCUAGCAAAUACACGUAGAGCGCCAGGAUUCCAGAGAGUGAAAGAUGAAGUACGCCAUUCAACUCUUGACAGAGAGGUGAUAGAUUUAAACUGAAGAAGGAUACUCCUGGACCCAGCCAAUGAGGGGAUUUGCUUAAAUUUACUAUGUAUUUGGUAAGAUUUAAAUCUUUUUUCUUUGUUGUUUUUGUUUUAUGGUAUAUGUGUGUGUGUGUGCUGGGAGAGCUAGAACAGGAGGGAAAAUUGCUGCUUUGAAAUAUAUGUGUUGAAUUGAAUUUAAAAGAAUCCAACAGACCAUUGUUUUGUUAUAGAUAAUUUCACAUUCUGCAGGAAAGGGGAAUGAAUUGGUUGACUUCUGAGGUCACCAUUUAUUGUCUCUUAGUCUAGAAGUUUUACUUGAUGGUGGAUUGGAUAAAGUAAAAACUCUUUGGCAAUUUAUCUUGAGGACUUGAGUUUCCAGGACUCUACUCUUCCACCAACUUCAUCCAGCAUAUUUUUGACCCAACAAGCUAUAAUUGAGCAGCUUGGAAGAAUGAGAAAAAGCAAUGGUUCUCUCACCAUUUCUCCGCCACGCAUUCUUCAUUUAGUAGAUUCUGUGCAAAGAAUAGUAUCCAUAUAGGAUGUUGGUAGAGUAAUUUGUAUCUAAACUCCCCUGAAUUUGGAAGGACUUUUGUCGAAAGGUUCUUUAUCCUGCCAAACCUCCAAUGAUAGUGGAUUCAGACUCUGAUCGAUUUCUCUAAGGUUUAAAAGGACCCUCUUGUCUUGAAAUUCUAUUUCAGUUAGCUCUAAUUAUGUGGAUAUUUCCACUAUAUGAAACUUUAAAUUUGUCUGACCUAGCUCCAGAUGCCCCACAAAGCUUGCUUCAAGCCACCUUUGGCCAUGGGAACAAACUGUUCUCAUCUGCCCCUUAUGCCAAGGGAGGUCUUCACACACUUGGGAUAGGUGUCUUUUAACUCGCUGAUUGAUGAGUUUGAGGCUGAAUUGUGUGGCCACUGUGUGGAGCUUCUUGGAGGUAUAGUGAGAGAUGGGUGAAAGCUGGACGCUCAAACUCAAAAGUGGAUGAGCAGUCCUGAAAAGGGAUACUGGCAAGUCCUCACACCAGAGGUGCUAGCUAGUCUUUUCUGAACACCUUAUACACCCUACAUUCUAUUUUAGGUUAUUUUUAGUUAUGUAAGCAUUUUCCCGUCGUAUUAACAUAAAAUUCACCACAUUCUGGUUAAUUUUGCAAUAUAAGCUGAAUUGAAUAUCAUUACAUUGACCAUCCAUUUGGGAGAAUGGAAUACUUGACCUCUUGGGUCACUCUGUAUGCCAAGAUUUAACAUAACGUGACCUUGUGUUUGAAGUGUUAAGUGUGGAUAUUUGAAAACAUUCAGCUUGAGGGUCCCAGGACCAAGCCAACCCAUCUCCUCUUGCCAGAAUGAUCUCCAUCUGCCUCCGUUGUAUAGACGUCACAUUUUAUAGUUAAUGAUAAAAGUCACGCCUUGUACAACGGAGGCAUUUGGUGAAGAACCUUCUCGCCAAACAAGGAGGAUUUGGGAGGUGUUUGGGACAAGGAGUUCUGUCCUCUUAAUGCCCACAUGAUUUACAGUUCAGACUUUCCUUGAAGUCUCCCAUGGAAGUGAGGUCAGGGUCCCUACUGCCAACUAUGUAACCAAUUUUACUGGAUGUUGAGAGAUAGCCUGUCAAAUCUUAACUCCAUUUCCUUAAAAGAGGUUAGGACUUUUUUGGACUAAGGAUGAAUUCCACUCCUAUCUUGACAGUGAUUAUGGACAUGAAAUGCAAAAUUAGUUCACUUUUUUAACAUGACCAGGAAGAGGACUUCAUUUAUGUAUAUUCAUUCAUUCAUUCAUUCAUGUACAUUUGAUAGGAUCUUUUCUUUUUUUAAGUUCCCUACUGGAAAUGUGUAUGUGUGUGCUGGGGGUAGUAGGGAAAAAUGGAGAUUAUGAAGUUAAUUGUCUCGCAUACACUUGGGUGAAUUGAAUUGUAUUCUCAAUUGACUUUUCAUUUCUGAGCUAUGUUGUUGAAAUUUAUUCAGGCAGGGGCAUGGAUUGGUUGGCUUCUGAGGGCAUUUUCACCUGAGAUUUGAACUCGAAGAAACUCUAGCUUGUGAUGGAUUAGACAAGGUAAAAAUUUGCAGGAUGUAAUUGGCCAGAAUUCCUAUGAUUGCCUUUUCAUUUUCUUCUGCUGCAUUCAUCAGUACUAUGGAUUACAACUCCAUGGAUAAGAAGAAUGUAAUGAUCUUUCUACCAUUCCUCCAGCCGCCUCAUGUGGACACAGUCCUUCAUUUUGUUAAUUUUGUGAAAAGAAGGAUCGUGUCCAUAGAGGCUACUGGUGAAGAAUUUUGCAACUAAACAUCCAUGAAGAUAGAGGCAUUGUUGGACACAGACAGCGACUGGCAAUCCUGUAAUGAUUGUGUAUUAAUACUCUGGUAAUCAAAGUUAAGCUGUCUUGGGAAACCCAUUGACUUUUAGGUUACUCUAAUUAUUUGGACAUUUUUCCAACAUUUUACUUAAAUUUUCCUUUAAACAAUUCAUGCCGAAUUGAAUCUCUUGACAUUGGCCAGCCCAUUCUCACACUGUACUAGAGUCUCCUUCAACUUCAAAUAGAGGAAUUGAAUUGCUGCAUCCCGAGGUCAUUGUCCAAGCACAGAGAAAGCCAAUUCCUGCCCCAUGUAUAAGAGUGGAUAAGGUCAACUCUUGAGGAUAUAUAUGUACUAUUUGGAAAUAAGUGACCCAACACAACACUGUUGCUACCAUUUUCUAUUAUUUGGAUCUUUACAAGGAACAUAGUAACCUAAGAGAACUUUGUUCCCGUGACCAUGCCUUCCAUCUGACCCAGUUGUUGAAUCACAUUUUAUAGAUUAUGAUGACCAUCACCUUGUGUUCAACAGUGGCAUUUGGAGAAGAACCUCCUAGCCAGACACCCAGGAUUUCAGAGGCAUUUGGGACAAGAUUCUACACAGAAGAUUUGUAUCCAUGUAGAACGUUGGGAAGAUUCUUUGUGGCAAAUUAAAUGUUGUAGGACUUUGCAGAAAAGAUCUCUGCCAUGUUAAACACUCCUGAUGAUACUGGAUCUACACUCUGGCUGAUGAUCUCCUGGGAGAAGAGGAUCUAAGUAUUGCCAUCUUAAACUCAUUCUAUUUUAGGCUAGUUCUAAUUAUUUGGGUAUUUUCUCUACAUCUUGGUUAAUUGUGCAACUUCCACAACAUCACUACUACAACAUCCAAGAGACUGGCUCUGAAGGACAAAGCAUUACGACAACCCAUCUCCUGACAUGCCCUCCAUCCAUAGGCCCCAGUUGUACAGAUAUCACAUUUUAUAAUUAAUGAUAAAAAGUCAUGUCAUGUACAACUGGGGCAUUUGGUGACGAACUUCAUGAGACUACAAGGAUUUCGGCGCUGCUUGGAAAAGGGAGUGUUGCUGUCUAAAUCCUGGAUUAUUUUGAGUCUGAACUUUCUUCUGUGGAUGUGGUUUAGAGAAUUCCCUAAGGCCAUUUAAUGCUGGUAAUUAAAAUUGUGCAUAGCUUUGAAUGUCAGGAGGAUUUCCUGUUAUCAGGUCACAAUGUAGUUUUCUCAAAUGCUACCCACCCUCAUGAUGGAGAUGUGAUACAGGAGGAAUUGGGAGUUUUUGGAAAAGAACAAUGAGGGGUGGUACUUAAGGUGAUUUUUCUAAAGUUAUACUGUGUGUGUUAGUGUGUGUGUGUGUGUGUUUGAGGUUGAAUAUGGACAACUAAGAUCUUUUAGUUUUCAUGAUUCCAGGAUUCUAUGGGUCGUUUUUUAUCCAAUGCCAUCCAAAGCAUAUUCAAUUUUUCAUUUGACUGCAAUUGGAACGUAAGAAAAAUCUAUCCUGCCACUAUGCGCCUUCAUGUGCCUUGGUUGUAGGAGAUACGACUAAAACUGUAUUUAACACAAUAAUGGUUCUUGAACUAACUGUUCAAAGACAGUUGGGAUAAGGUUACUCUGCUCU